ACGAACGCUGGCGGCGUGCUUAACCCAUGCACGUCGAACGGAAAGGCCUCUUUCGGGGGGUACUCGAGUGGCGAACGGGUGAGUAACACGUGAGUAACCUGCCCUUGACUUUGGGAUAACUUCAGGAAACUGGGGCUAAUACCGGAUAGGAGCUCCUGCUGCAUGGUGGGGGUUGGAAAGUUUCGGCGGUUGGGGAUGGACUCGCGGCUUAUCAGCUUGUUGGUGGGGUAGUGGCUUACCAAGGCUUUGACGGGUAGCCGGCCUGAGAGGGUGACCGGCCACAUUGGGACUGAGAUACGGCCCAGACUCCUACGGGAGGCAGCAGUGGGGAAUAUUGCACAAUGGGUGGGAGCCUGAUGCAGCAACGCCGUGUGCGGGAUGACGGCCUUCGGGUUGUAAACCGCUUUCGCUCAUGACGAAGCUUUGUGUGACGGUAGUGGGUAAAGAAGCACCGGCUAACUACGUG
rnacentral:rRNA from 1 species